rnacentral:ncRNA from 2 species
CUGCCCUCCAGCGCCGAUUUGUCCGGAUUGCGGGCGCUUUACAAAUACCGCUAAAGGGGGGACUCCCGGUC